rnacentral:rRNA from 1 species
GACUGAGUAGCGUCGGGAUAGGGCGGAGUCCACAGGCAACUGCUUUUCGGAUGAGAUGCAAAGUAAGCGGUGAGGGAUGCCACGACUGGUGUCCUUGGG